rnacentral:lncRNA from 1 species
GUUUUUUUUUUUUUGUUUUGCUAGACAAGUCAAAAAUACGACUGAUGACGUGCAGCAAAUAAAGCUAAGUCGACCCAGUUGUAGGAUACCGAAUUACUUGGACUCUUGAUGAUGGACUCUCCGGUGACUAUGAAGCAAGGAGGAUUCAACAAAAGACGCGCACACAUGAUCGUCGAGACCAGCAGCAAGUCCCCAAAACAUUCUCUCGUCGAUUGACACCAAGCCUAUUAUGAGCUAACCGAAUUUCGUACGCGGCCUUGGAGCUAUGCUGGAACGAAGCGGGCUGCCCAGAUGCACAUGCAGCAGCAGGGGCAUGCACGUGCUGCCUGUAUGCACAGAUCGAGCUGAGAACUGUAAAUGAACCCUAGCACGUCCCAGCAACAGCAACUAUGGAAUGGAUCGGAAUUCGGAAAUGGAAAGCUCAAUGCUAGCCUGCUGCUAUAUAUGCCCCAUUUUUCCAGCACCGGGAAAAAAGUUGCAGUGCCUACGACUAGUAGCGAGCUAGUUUCGUUUGGCGCAUUUAUCUGAGGUUCAUGGUUACAUACUUCCUCCGUUCCAAAUUAUAAGUCAUUCCAAUUUUCUUGGAGAGUCAAAUCAUUUUAUGUUUGAUCAAAAUUAUAGAGAGGAUCAUAAAAGUUUAUGGCACCGAAUAGAUAUACUAUGAAAAUAUAUUUAAUGAAAAAACUAAUGGUACCUAUUUGGUACCAUGAAUGUUAAUACUUUAUUGUAUAAAUUUGAUCAAAUUUGAGAUGAUUUAACUCUCCAAAAAAGUUAGAAUGACUUAUAAUUUGGAACGGAGGGAGUAUAUAUUAUAUACACAUGCAUCAACGCAUUCUUGUUACUGCUUCCAGCGUGCAAAAAGGAGUUGAGACUAGUAUAGCAGUAUAGCACCAGCUCCACCAUGAUUCCUCCCACAUUAUUGGCUGCUUCAAUUCUCCGGUCCUGUGGUUGCAACGUCAACAGAGGAUCCUGCUUUCCUAAGCUGCGAAAGUGGAUUGGAUGCCAAUAACAAGAAUUCUGGCAACUCCCUGCUACCAAUGCAAUGUGUUUACAACAUGAAAUGAAACCGUUGGGUUGGAUCCACCACGGCUCAGUCAGAAUUCAGAAAGAUCACACUAAAAAACAUAGUAUAACAAUUCACCGCAUCAUCGGCCAUCUGGUCAGCAGAUUAAUAAUUAAAAAGACGAGAAGAGAAGAGUAGCCCACUGCCUCUGCCACUUGCUCUGAACAUGGUGGUUGGGCGUUCAGUGGCAACUUGCUCCAUCUACCUCUGACUUCAUCUCGGCCGCCGCCGGCGAGCUCCGGCUCCACUGCCCGGUCUGAUCUACGUUGCCAUACUUUGCUGUAGCAGACAGCAGUAGUGCAGUUACACUGGUAAUACCAGUCACCGCGCACAAACUUGUAUUAAACUGAAGUAUACUUUAGCCGAUUAGCUAGAUUUCUUUUAUACAACUAACCCAUAUCAUACCACCGAGGAGGAUACAUGAUGAAGCCGCAGGAAGCUGAUCUGGCUUCAGGACGGUUGACGUACGUGCAUGCUGAGAACAAUGACCGGUGAAGUGUUCAAUUAUUAGGUGGCAAGUAGCAGUAGUUGGCAGUUUGGGGCUCAGUCAUCUUAGCUUUGAGGUUCUGAACAUUCAUCAUAGACCGGUCAGCGCGUAAGUAAACGUCGAUCAAACUCAUGCUUUUUUGCUCAUCAAGCAUACUACUCUUAGUGCAGAACGCACUUAGGAGCAAGUUUAAUUCUUUUCUUCUAGUGAAGCAGGUUGGUCGUUCCGCAAGCUUGGACCAGCAUCUGUCCGUGGAAUGUCGUCAUUAUAUUACCGCAAUGGACCAUCACUGAUGUCAAUCAUGAGCUCACCACUUGUAAAUCAAAGCAUCUAAACAAUGGUGCACGAACUAAAAUACUCUCGAUCACUCACCCCACGUCCCCACGUUUUAAAAAGAAAAGGUUAAAACAUGUGUAUUGUGCAGAAUGAGUAAUGUUUUUUUUAAAAAAAACGAAAUGAGUAAUAUAAUGCUUUGGUUCCAUCCAGUUCAUGUUGCUGUAGAAUUGCUGUUCGCCGUCGUCAGUACACUCCAUCACCCACGAUGGUGAAGAAUUACGUAUCGAAAUCGUAGCUGUAAGAAGCAACAGUGAAAACGAAAUGAGGCCCUAGUUGACCAAAAUCACUAUGCCAGCACUGUAGCAUACUGUAGCGUUUCGUUUGUAUUUGUGAAUUAUUGUCCAAAUAUUGACUAAUUAGGCUCAAAAGAUUCGUCUCGCAAAGUACAACCAAACUGUGCAAUUAGUUUUUGAUUUCGUCUACAUUCAGUACUCCAUGCAUGUACCGUAAGUUUGAUGUGAUGGGGAAUCGUCUUUUUGCAUAGUACCAAAGUUAGGAUUUUCAGGUAACUAAACGAGACCUGAAAUGAUAAAGUGGCCCCCACCAGCGCUUGGUCGGUUAGCUGUCCGGAUCACCAUGUAGUACCAUGGAAAGGGAAGGCAGGCCAGUGCGGGGCCCCACUUUUUUGCCGACGAUAAGAUUCACACGGCUCACAAACAGACAAUAAUCUAAUGCAUAUAUUCCUCCAAUGAAAACAGAUGAAUGCACAGUCUGACGGUCUCUGAAGUGGAAAAUUCUCUCUCGAUAAAGACUGUGAUCGACGUGCCACAAACUCAUAAUGCAUGUUGUUGCAGUGUCAUCUUCUUCUUCACUUUCUUUUUUAUUACUAGUUGGCAAUCAGCUUGUCACGGAUGGAUCGGCUUGUUACGAUGGAAAUCAGCCCGUGGUUUAAAACGGCCCAGCCCACUGCAUACAAACUACAACAUCUUCCAGCCCGGUGCCUCAUACGUGAAUUCGCCCAAAUUUCUGUUGGUCCUCCUAAUAAAGGAAAAAAUUUAGCUUCUGGCUCCGCCUCUGCUGACAUGGAAGUGGGACACUCUGCGACCAUGAAAUGGGUAAUAUAACUCAUAAGUUAAUCAUUUUCCAUGUGAUGCGGCCAAAGUAACACGACUAUGAAGACAACAUGGAUAGCAUAACUGGUCAUCUGAAGCAGCUACAGAAGUUGGAGCAACAAGUUUGCGCUGAAUUGUCGUCCAUUUUCUAAUUUUCUGUAUAACAGACAACAAAUUUACUAGAUAUACACAUUGGAAUUCUUCCCUAGUACUUUACAUUAUCUGGAUACGAAAGGUUAACCAGGGUACACAGAUGACAAAUACAAAUUCCGUCCAAGCUCCAGCCUGCCUGCCUAUGCUACGAUUGAAUUUGAAGCAUCCCCAUCACCAAUCAGUACACAGACUCGAAAACAUUUCGUUUCGACGGGCAAUACGCUACGAUUGAAUUUGAAGCAUCCAAACCACCAAAUCUUCGCCUAUGUACAACUGCUGCAUCGGACAAAAAAACUGCCGACGCCAUGAACUUUAGUGGCUAUUCUUGGCAUUGCAGCUCACAGCUUCAGAGAAGAGGAACUCGAAGAUGGUAAGCAGCCACUGUCCUUGCUGUCGUGGAGCAAGAUUGAACAAUCACUUGAUGGUAUCUGGGACCAAUCUAUUUGGCUGUUAUUCAAGGAGUGGUGGGGUUGGGCGAUAUGUAAGUCUUCAAUCAGAUCGGCAUCGUCAGGUGAGACCUCAAUUGGGAUCUGACCGCAAAGCAUCUUCACAACUGAAGACAUUCUUGGCCGCUGGGUUGGUAACGUGCUUGUACAUAGGAGAGCUACGUUCAGCAGCCUCAGUGCCUGUUCUUGCGAGUAGUCAGAACCAAGACGCCGAUCAACAACUUCAAGCAGCCUCCCUUGCUGCUUCAAUCCUUCAGCCUGAGCGAGGUUAACGUAAAAGGAAUAGUGAAUCAAUUGUUUGAACAAAAAAAAAACAGCCCAACUAUCAUUAAAAGCUACGCAAAUUUAACAGUAGCUUUACAGAAGACAGGGUUCUAAGUAAUCUUGUCACGUAAAAUGAAAUUAAACUUUAUUGUGUUAAUUAUGAAAACCAUGUCCUGAAGGACAGAAAGGCAGCAAAAGAAAAUAUUCAUACCCAAUCAAGAAGGUGCAGAUAUUCUUCAUUUGACACGCUAUUCGUAUUGCUCAUUCCACUAACAAUUUCUAGUGUCACCACUCCAUAACUGUAGAUGUCCGCUUUACGUGUCAAGCAACCUCUUGUGGCAUAUUCAGGAGCCAUAUAACCACUGAAACCACGAAAACCACCACAAUAGCAUCAGGCAUAGUGGGCAUUAACUUAAUGUGUCCAUAUAAAAAUACCAUUAUACAUAGGAAGCUUUAUACAGUUGUACUAGCUCAAAGUAUGGGACUCUUUUAGAAGGUUAAGCGAUCGCUACAAUAGAAAAAUUAAAGGAUCAACAGCAACUAGACAAACAGCUUACACUGUUCCAGCGAUCCGAGUGCUCACAGGACCAGAGUCAUCAUUCAGUUUAGCCAAGCCAAAAUCUGAUAUUUUAGGCUGCAGCUUUUCAUCAAGAAGAAUAUUUGAUGGUUUAAUAUCUCUGUGGAUUAUUUUUAGUGUAGACUCUUCGUGGAGAUAGACCAGACCUUUUGCAGUCCCAAGGCAGAUGUUGUACCUUGUUGGCCAGUCUAAUUUCAGCUUGUGUUCUGCACGACCUAAGAAAUGUCUUAUUAUUAGAACAGGAUGCGCUUGCUAGCUUUAGAGUGUUGUACUAAUUAACUUGAGACAAAUCCAUUUCAGAGCAAGAAUAUACAAUUUUAGAAUACAAAAAUUUAUGAAGGCUUACCAAAAAGUGCACGACCAAGACUAUUAUUUUCCAAGAAUUCAUAUAUCAGAAGAAGCUGAUCCCCAUCAAUACAACAACCAAAGAGCCUCACAAGGUUUGGAUGCCUUAGAGUAAAUAUUAUUCCUGUCUCAUUUAAAAACUCACGAUUUCCUUGGCUUGAUUUCGAGGACAGCUUUUUUACUGCAAUAGCAGUACCAUCUGCUAGUGUACCCUGAAGACGAGAGGUUUACAGAGUGUUUUAUAACUCUGAAAUAAUCGCAUAGAUAUUUAUCAAAGGAGAGGAAACAAAAAGAUGGCGAACUAAAAUGCUAGUUGCACAGCUACUAAUGGUUUGAUUUCCCUUGAUAAUUGCUUUGUAAAUCUGUUUACCCGUAUCUUGACCCUCUGAGUAAGUCGUGAUGAGUUGCUUACCUUGAAGACUGUAAACAAAUUAUCCAUCAUUUUCUUUGGAAAUAAAAAGGUUACCAACUGAUGGUUUUCUAAUUUCAGCAGAGCUAACAACCACCUCAAUCAUUAGGAAAAGAUAAUUUCUGAGUGCUAUCUUUCUAGAUUACUAUGUUGUGGUAUUUGGCAACUCAAACAAUUAGAUGAGGAAGCAAUUUAUGUGAAAAUGUAUUAAUAAAUGAGGUGAUGAAGAACAUUAUUUUCUCCUUGCCACCAGAAGGGAGAGGAUCUUAAAGUUCUUUUUUUUUACCUUGUAAACAGGUCCAAAGCCACCCUCACCUAUUUUAUUUGCAGGAUCAAAAUGUUUUGUUGCAUGCUCAAUCUCUUUCAAGGUAAAGAAAUACUGUGCCCGUGUUUGAAGCUCUGAAAUAGUAGUUUUCCUUCCUUGGUUGCAGAAAUGUCUACCUGUGAUGACACAUGACAGUAAAAUAUGAACGCUUCAUGACAGAAAUACAACAAUGAUUUGAAUACCUCAUUGGAAAACAAGAUUUAUUUUCGAAGCUUAGACUUGUGGCAUAAACUAACUAAUUGCACAUUGCACAUAGAAGUUACUUAGACACCCUAAAACAUGUCCUGUAAGUUGAUAAUUCUUGGCCAUGACUUAAGUUUACAAGCCUGGCAAACCCAAAAGGUUGGAAAAACAGCCCUUAAACUAUGUUGAACAUGAAUCUUAGUUCAUUAUGUAACUGCAUUUACCUCAAAAAAAAUUAUGUAAAUGUGAAAUCUUCCCUAAUUCACGAUCAUAAACAAAAUCAUGUAGAACAAUAAAUUUUCUAAAUAUGAAAGGUUUUCAUAUCGCCGCAAAUACUCAUACCACAAAACAUGAACAGAACAAACUAAACACCAUUAGUGUCGUUAACUCUAAGACAAGAAAAAUAAUUAUACAUGGAGAGUUAAAACAGUAACUUUUAUGUUAUGCAUAACAACAAACAUUUUUCUGGUCUGAACAAACAGAUCAGGAUUGUUCAGACAAGGCCCAAUGUUUUUCUGAGACCACAGAGAGCAUUAGAGGUGACAAAUGGAUACUUUUUGUUCAUUUUAUUCAACUACUGUAUUUGAUGUGAUGUGUACAUGGCAUAAAUUCCCUGAAGGACUAACAAAGAAAAUAGCACAUAUAAGCCACAUUUUAGUUUUUCUCAAAUCAAUUGUUUUUUUUUAAAAGUAACCACAUAUGCUAAUACAGAAAUUAUAAACUGAUAAGAAACAUGCUGAACCAGUGACAGAAAAUGAACCCACCAUGCAUGUUAAUACAAAAAUUAUAAAAUGACUUGGAACGGAAACGUAUAUUUAAGAAGAUGAACUCAUUGUUACCUAUAACAUUCUUCCUUUUCCAGAUUUUGAAAUAGCAGGCUAUAAGCAGGAGUAUGACAGCCAAACAUGGUACAGCUAUUAUGGCGAUCACCACUCCAGUUGAGACUCCACGAUGGUUCCUGCGAGCUGUACCGAUACUGAAUUAGCUAAUUUCCAAGCGUAUGAGAAAAUAAGGUUGCAAAAACAUUUUUAAAAAGAUAGAUCACGAAAUUUGUGAAGAGAAAAGGUCAUCUGGGGAGCGAACUACUCACUCUGAGUUACCGAUAUGGCUGAGAUCAGUGGACCAUACAUGCCCCGAUAAGGUAUCGCUGUGCUACCUUUGCCUCCCCAAUAUAAGUGAAUUUCCAGUGUAUUCUCUGUAAUGUUGGUUGCAAAAUAUUUGGUAAUUGCACGACGGACACCACCAGCCUCAUCUUGAAUGUUAAAGUCCCCCAAUACUUUAGCACCCUGAAAAAGUUGUUGCAAAGUUCAGUAAACAAUCUAUUAGAAAAAAAAAUAAUCCUGUAUAAUGUAUUCUGUGAACUUUUCAAGUACAAUAGAAACAAAACUAUUAUAAAAAGUUUGAAUAGAGGUUAUUACAGCAGCAAGAAAUAAACCUUAUAAGACUUUUGAUGUUUACAACUUUAGUAUAGGGGUUCAUUUUCUCAGUUGGAUUGUAAUACAGCAACUGCUUUUAGAUUGUAGAAUGCUAAUCCUUGAUAAAUUGCUUAUAUUCACAUGAAUCAACUGGUAACAGGCUGGAAACACCAACUGCUAGAUAUUACAGAAACUAUACCUGGAUGAAGACAUCAAAAACACGCUUGCCGUUACUGGAAUAAGUAUGAUCUUCUGUGAACACAAUCUCAGCAAAAUGAAGCUUUACCAUAUAUUCACCAUUAUCCAUGCAAAGGCCAUAGUAUUUCAGAGAGAGAGAUACGAGACGAGCUUCAGUGUAUAGCUCAGGAUGAGCCAGGGUUAAUUCCGAUGUGUUUCUAGCAAUAUAGUCAGCAUUCUCGUUACCCACAAAAUCACCUGUGCUACUGUAUGCCCAUUUCUUAUCAUUAGAUAAAACAAAGGUUGAUGUUCCAAUUUGGGACGAGUCAUCCUUGUAGGUAACCCCAUCCACCGUAACACUUUUACCGCCACAAUUGAUGAACAGGGAGGAAUCUGAAUAUAUAUGAAUGAAAUAUUCAACACUCUAAGAUAUUUAAAACUCAGUUCUCAGCAUAGGGACUGCUAUCCAAUAUUCUAUAAAUAAGUGAACUUACCGCGUGGUUUGCCCAUGCAAGGAAGAUUCUUUCUUAAACAUGGCUGCAAUCUGGUAAAAACAUAUAACCAAAAACCAUUUUAGAAUUUAUUUUUUUCAUGGAUAUUUGAUAAUAGAAAUUGUUCUGCAUAGGGUCUUACGAAUUGUCAUUUGAAGAUGAAAAGCUUGACACCAUAUUUCUGCAAUUGCAACGUACAAGCUAUGUGAGCACCAUGGAAAACAAAGCUAAUUGUAUGUGAGGAUCUUUGAAAUGCACAUACACAUUUGCUUGCUGGCACUCAGAUGGAGGGUUACCCGUGAAGUCAUUAUACGAUAUAUCCCUGCACAACAUUAAUCAACUGUCAUGGAAGAAGAAAUAGAUCAAGAUGAAAGAGAAAUUAAAUGCUAGUGCAGGAACAUAUGGAUGCAAAUAGUCUGUCAAUAGAGAAGUACUACGCUGUACGAUACGCACAUGUUUUUUUUAUUGCUUGCCCUGUUUUUCAACAUCCAAUCAGGCAAAUCUCCUGUCAGCAUAUUGCUAGUCAGGUACCUAAUAAUUUGCACGAAUUGAAAUGAGGUUCCAUCAGAAAAUUAAAGGUGAAACUCAGUGCAGGAUACAAAUCCAAUUGUACAAAACACAAGCAAAAGUUGGAAAUUAAAAUAAUAGUAUUACAGAAUGAAUAUCUCACAAAUAUUGUAGUGCUGUCAUUCCUUGAAAAUUUAUUGGGAUUUGACCGGUCAACUUGUUGAAGCUUAUAUCUCUGAAAAUAGAAGACCAUAAUGAUUAAGAAUAUGAUCAAGGAUUAAUGGGACCAUGUCCAUUGUUAUGAGAAAAAUAAUCUAUAAUGCACCCUGUAAUACCCCGCAAAGACAAAUAUGAACUGGAUAAUAGACUAUGGAUGCACAUCAGAAUUACUAAUGAUAAAGGUACACACAGAAAAAAGAGGAGACAAGUGUUUAAUAACAUAGGAAAAUAUAGCAACAUUAAGAGUGCCAAAGCUUUCUCCACCCGUAUUUUACCUAAGAACAACUAUUCCUUCCAUCCAAACAGAGCUAAACAUGCACCCCCAUCUUUUUGUUAUAAUCACAUUGAUAUUAAACAUUACAAAUGGAAAAUUAAGUGAAAUGAUCAGGCAAAGAUUACUUACAAGACUUUAAGGUACUGCAUUAGUCCAAGGUAAGAAGGUAUUUCACCAUAGAUGGAGCAAUUUCUUAGGACCCUGUAAAUCAAAGGGAAUUCAGUAUUCUAGUGGGAAUGAUUUCUGGUAAGAUAGCAAAAAUCUCAGAAACAUGAACUCACAAUUCUGUAAGGUGCAGCGCAUUUUGUAAGGGAGGAAAUUUCAUGCUUGGUCCACUCAAAUCAGUCACCCUCCUGAUGAUGCAAAACCUUCGGUCAAUUACAUUCCUAUUUAAAUACCAGAUUCCCACUACAACAUAAAACUACAAGUAGUUACAAAACAGAACGUAGAAUGUUCAUACAGUUCUGUCAAGUUCUUUAGCAAGGAAAUUUCUUGAGGAAUAGGUCCACUCAUCAAGGUACCCUGCAUGUCUCUGGAAAAUGAAGAGAGGGAUUAAUAUGCAAAUGAGAAUAAAUGAAGAAAAAACUUUUUGAUUCACUUGAAGGUCGAGAAUGUUUUAUAUCAGAGAAGAACUAACAUUCUGUUCACGCGCUGCCAAUUCUUAAUGAAGCUGGGUAUUUUCCCUGAGAUACUGGUCCCAUCAAUACGACUGCAAUUAUUCAAACGAAAAGUUAGAACUUGCUUGAGAUGCAAGAACUUUACACGAUUAAUAUGAAUGGGACAUACAAGUCUGUCAUAUUUGUCAGCCUGGAAAACGUUGGGGGCAACUCUCCUGUGAUGUUAUUUGCAGAAAUGAAACUGUAAGAGAAAAAUGAGUAGUGAUUCAAGAAACUCUGUACAAUGGUUAAUGGUGAAGAAACAACAAUUUAUUUAAAUAUCAACUCAUGACAUUUUGAAUCAAUAAAAUUUAACAGCAUGUCAAGGGAGAAUCAAUAAAAUUUAACAGCAUGCCAAGGGAAAAAGAGAGGAUUACUUCAUUUUGUUUAUGCUAAUUCCUUACAGUUCAGUUAUGAUAACUCACAUAAACUAUAAUGGAACAUUUACACAUCAUUGACGCUUUGAUGCUACUAACAUAUGGCUACUUGACCAAUCUCAAGCCAUGCCAAGAUUCAGAGUUGCUGAAGAUUUUCUUAAAAGGGGUAAAACAACUGCCAAUUGAAUUAUAGUCAUCUUGGUUGUAACAAUAAACUUCCUCAGAUAAAGAUCUACAUAUGGAUUUUAGAAUUUACAACAAAAGGAAUCAGUACAAGAAUUUUGACCGAGUGGAAACAAGAGCUUACAAUCUCUCCAAGCUGAUGAUAUUACCCAGCUCUGGUGGAAUAGGGCCCUCAAUCUGAUUACUUUCUAGCACGCUGAGGAAAUUUGUUAUUAGGUUAUCAUAGUUAGCUCUUUGUAUCUUCCAAUUUUACCUCCACAAAGUUGCAGGUACUUGCAAUUGUAGUGCAGGCACAACUCACAUAGAUUUCAACAUGGGCAUGCGUCCAAGUUCCUUAGGUAGUCUUCCAGAUAUGCGAUUUCCCUGCAGAGACCUGUAGAAUGUACUAGAAUGUUAAUAAAGGACGCACAUAUACACGCAUGCUUGUGAGUUGUGACAAUAUGGUGGGAGCAGCACAAGACAUACAGAUUAAAAACAGGUAGGCUUGCCCAGGAUGCUGGAAUUGGUCCUUGAAUGAAGUUGCGUGGCAAGUCACUGCAAGGAGUGCAAACCAGUUUUUCCAGAUGUACAGUGAAUAUCCUGAAACUCAGGUAGCUUGAUGGACUUACAGAUGUCGCAAAUAAGUAAGAUUCAAAACUUCUUCAGGUAGAACUCCACUGAGAUUCUGACGCCUAAGCUGCCUGUCAUGUGUAUAAACAAAGGCGUGAUGCGAUAACAUUCAAGUACAAAAUGAAUACAGUGGAACAGUUCUAAUGGAUUCAGGCGUGCCUAAGAUGUCUUACAAGCUGAUAACGUGACAUUCCAUGUGGUUCUUGAAUGAACAAUCACAUGUCACAUUGCUGAUAAGAAAUUUGGUGGGGGAAUUGACCCAAUUUCCUGAUGCACUGCAUGGAUCCACGUUGAAGUCCCAGUCCGUCUUGUUAAGCUUGGUUGCUAUUCCUUUGAGCGCUUCAACUGAAAAGGCAAAGGCAAUUCAAAUUUUGCCCAAUGUAAUUUGGUAUAUCGUUAAAAAAAUGCAAUUUGGUAUGCACAAAACUUAGCUGGAAAUUUACUUCCCUGGAAAUCAAAAUUUAUAAAUAAACGGUACCGGAGUAAUAAGGCGAACAUGAAGCAUCCCCGGAUCAAGAACAUUGCAGGGUAGUCACAAUUAGUUUAUUCCACAGAACUUCUAUGAAACAUUCCAAGAACCAAAUAUUUAGAACGGCAGAGGAAAAGGAGAGGGCAGCUUUGGUCCAUCUGCUUCGAUAUAUGUCAAAAGUAUUCCUUGGUUUGAUGCUAUCAACCUCCAGCCACCUAAUCUUUAUCACUUAUGAGCAUGUGCCAGAGCACCAGCACUUAGAUCUCAGCAAUCUCGCAGUAGCAGAAAGGCCAUAUAAUUGCCCUAGCGUAAAUGUGCAAGCCUCUCACUGUCGGUUGUCUUCGAGCACCUGCUCCUUAAUCAGGCAGCAACUGAGACUGUUACAAAUCUUGCAAUGCAUAUAUGGCAGUGCUUGUUGUGACCACUGUACUUAGAAGGCCAUACCUUUUCACAACAACUCAACCCACCACCUUCGGUCCAUUAGUCACUUUAGCUUUGCCAGCACCUGAACCUCUCACAAGUCAGCAACAGUCAUGACCGAGCAGCACAUGCAGAAGCCUAGGAUGUGCAACAUACCGUAGGUACCGGUGGUCACGGCAAAACCCCUUAGCACGCGUUGCCGACAAAACCAACAAUCCGGCCAGCUCAGCACAGCGACGCAAACGGCCCGGAUGCACCCUCCGCAUUUGACCAUUUCGUCAAACACUUGGCGUGCGCCACCCACUGGACCAGAGCAAGUUGGCCGCGAGCCACCUGCCCGCAGGCCUGAGCAUGCCUCAUGGAGCGUAAGUUGGGAUUCUUGGAGAAGAACGCGCCAGUCAAAGGUGAAAAUUGGUCGAGAGGAUUAGUUGAUUGGAUCGCCAGGCAAGUGGAGGGAACCGACCUAAUGUUGAGGAAGAAAGUUCGACGUGCGCAAUGGAUUAAAGGUGCUAUCCUAUCUGCGCUAAUACGGUAAUACCCUAGUAUAACAUUGGAUUUUUCAGUGGUGCCCGAGAGAACUAGCAAAUUCACAGAUGGCCCUCGCAUCAAGCGAAACUGGAUUGCGUUCUUGCCAUGUAAGCAGGAACUUUAGAUUGAUUCUGUAUCAGAAAAGUAGUUGUUGGUACGUUUUUGACCCAAGUGCAAUCAUCAAAGAAUGCAUGAGUCUGGGGUGCAUCAACCAAAAUAGAACAAAGAUGUGUGACAGAUUCCGUAUAUGAGGAGAGCUAAUGUUGUUCAUAAGCUUCAAGAACUUAAGGGAACAAAAAAACUUCGCCGUCAAUUUUUUUAUCCACACCUGUUAUCUCAACCGACUAUUUGAGGAGUAGUUUCAAUUCCUCACUCUUGCAGAGUAGGAGAUAGAAAUUCCAUUCAGGAGCUCAAUCAAAAAGGAACAGACUUGGAUUUCCACAGAGCAAAUUAAAACCACCAACCAAAACGUUUUGCUAAAAAAAACUAGCGUUGCUCUAAGAAUUGGGUAGUGGUGCCCCCUCACCUUCUUGCUGCGGCAGCCGAGUAGCCUGCGCCCAGCACCGGCCGCCGAUGCUGCAGCCGAGGCCCAGGAGCAGGAGGAAGAGGCGGCGGAGCAGAACCACAACGCCGCAGUGGUAGCCGCCUCCUCCCAUCCCGCUAGCUUGGCGGGUAGGCGUGUGAGCUUCGUUUGUCUGCGCGUGAGCGAGAGCGACUCAGAAUAUCUCCUUCUUGCCUGGUUUUGUUCCCUGGCAGUCUGGCACAGCACCACGGAAGGAGCCGCCGCCUCGGGAAUUGACCUGAGAUCCUUUUGGUCACCGCCGUGGAUGGAUGGAUCAUGGAUGGGCGCCCGCAAACUAGACUAUGGUCACCGUCGGUGAGCCGACCAACCAAAACCUCCUGCACCUUUCAGUUUAUUAUUUUUUCCACUAAAAAUAAAAUUUUGUACCAAAAUUUUAUCAUUUUGUUCAGCAUUACCUCUAGUGUUAUUCCACCGAAAUUCAAAUUUAUCCUGAUAAAAAAUCACCUUAAAAAAUAGUGAAUUGCGGGCAUUAAAAAUAACAUUUUCAUAAUUAAGGGUAUGUUUGGUUUCGUGCAUGGAACAUGCCACGCCAAGAGUUUGGCAUGCAAUGUGCCACCCUUUGUUAGGGUCAGCUUUCGUUCAUAUAAGGGGUUUUUGGCAUACUUCAUUCGCAUAAUGAUUUUGUGUCUGGACUUGAAAAAGUCUGGCAGGCAAUCUGUCCAUCAAACUUGCAACACAGCUAGGGUUAUAUUGUGGUUUGCUUGGAAAGUAUACUAAACAGAGCCUAAACAAUAAGAUAAACCCAUAUUUCGAGUUGUUUCACCAUUUUGCGGAAAGUUCUACAGGCAUAUAAUUAUGCUUUUUAGGUACUUCUUAUCCUAAAUGACAUAUGUUUAAGACAAAGGGAGUAUUAAACAAUGUUAUUGAUGUCAGUUAGGUCCAAUUAUUUUAUGAAAUUUGUAAUUACAAUAGUAGGUUAGGUUGGAAAAAUAUGAGUACCUCCAAUUUCGAACUUACCAAUAGAAGGGUUUGGUUAAAAAGCAAAGUCCGUCUAGAUUCUUUUGAUGUCAGAGAUGGUAUGGAGCAUGAGCGGAUGUAGUUUUAAUGGUCCAUAAUACAUACUUCUACGUAGAAUUUGAGCCGGUCCAUAUUUAACAAACUAAGACAAAAAUCCAUAGCUAACAUAAUAUAAAAUACUCAUAUUCACGAUUCAGUAUAGGUAGCAGCGGAAGCAGCAAUAUAAAUAAAUUUAAAACAUAAUUCACAUGAUAAAAAGCUUAGUUUGUGAAUUGUAUGCCGAGGACAUUACGUGAUGUUCGUGUCCGUCGCAACUCAAGUCACACACGGUCCCAGCCUGGCAGGAUUCAGGUUACCGCCCGGUGCGGUUUUUAGCUUUCUGUGACAUUGCCCUGACCCUGCUGGUCAUCUCUAUCUCGUGGAAUUGAGAACACAGCCGCAGCGCAACCAGAUCGUUUUGUGGCACGCGCACAUGAGCUGAUGCAGAUCGAUAUGCGCUUGGGGAAAAGAGACGAAGCAGAGAAGACGAGUGUGGCAGUGCCUACCCACUCUGACCUUUCUUUGACGCUUCUCUUCAGUCCACUGCUUAUACCGGCCGUGUGCUGCAACUGCUUAUACAGUCCACUGCUUCUUUCAGUGCCAACUUUGGCCGCCUACCUUGAAUUGAUCUCGUCGUCGACCGGAUGUUAUUACAGUGCUAGCCGCCCAUGCCGCGACCAAAAAUCUGACCGAGGAUAUGGCGAGGAAGCAACAGGGUGGUGAAAUGGUAGGUACAGUAGCAAAGAAGCAGGUGGUUAUUGAUCUUUCAACAUGCUUAGACUGGCACCGUACAAUGGCUGCAAAGAAGAAUGGCCACGACCGUAAUGUGCCAGUGCCACACUGAUGAGCAGAACAGAGAAAUUAGUACCUUGGCAUGGCCUUCAUCGAGCACAUGUUCAAAUAGAAUGCACUCACACCGUCAGCUCACAUGCAAAACUCGUAAACGAAACCAUACUCAAGCAGAGUCCGAACGGGUGUGAAAUAACCGAGUCUUGGUGCAUGCAGCAUGAAAAGGGAAGGAAUGCAGGGGCCUACUUUGUCGAUCAGGUUCAAGAAUAGACAAGCAGAUAAAACUUUGUCUUUUUUUUUUUGCGAAAGAGAUAAAACUUUGUAUUGACUAAAAUAUAUCACUGAACAGAACAAUGAAAGUACAUGAGAUGGGUACCAGAUCGAUUUUGCCAAAAGUAGGGCAGCGUGAUUAACGUUGCACCACGGGCAUUUACUUGUACAGCAAUAUACAGAGUUCUAACUUGUUUCAGAGGCUACGGGUCAUUUGAUGAGGAAAUCAAUGGAAUGUUUUCUAGUUCAAUUUAAUAAAUUUUGCAGGAGAUUGCUUUAAUAACAUGGAAAUCUGCAAGAGACGAAGGUGGGCCCGUACGUUUUCUUCAUUUGUGAAACCGAUUUAUCUUUCCUGCACACGCGUCCAAUUCAGCUCGACAUGAUUCAUUUUUCAGACAGAACAAAUGCAUGUUCAGAAAAAGGAGGGGGGGGGGGGGGGGGGGUAGGAAAACAGAGGGAAAGAAAAGAUGAAGCGCCGAUGAUGUUCGGAGUUUCUGAAUCAACUAGAAAUCACAGGGCGCGGCGUUGCCGCGCCAUCUUCAAGCUGGCCAGUAGUAAUUUUGUGUGGGGUCCAAAAGAUUCAGAAUUUGAUGGAAAAGUAGCAUGUAAGUCUUGUGGUGCGAUGACUGAUGCCACAUAUACAUUUUGAAAGAAAAGAUUGUGGCACAGAAAGAUCAUGUCAUGCAAAAUGUUCGUGCUAAGCUGAAGGCAAAGGCAUAUAAAAGAUUCAAAGACUUGACAUAUAAUCUGAGAACAUAAGUGGCUGCAAAAGUUAAUACGAGAAACAGACAAAAACACAUGUAGGUGUUAGAUUUCUCUGCAUUAGCUUAUUGAUUGAUAAAAUCCCUUUCUGAAAAUUGGUGCCUUCAGAUAUUUCAUUUGGAGUCUACUCUUCUGCAGUGGUCCAAAUUUGUGGGAGCGUCUGGAGUUAGAACCAUAAUGCCAGCAGAUUUAGAAACAUGUAUAGCUGGGUUUUUUUUAUCGAGUUUGGAUCUUUCUCAAGAGUUUAAUUUGUAAUUUGAGUACAUAUAAACAAAGUUACUAUUAUAUUUACGUGAAGUGAGUUUCAACAGUCAAGUAACUGCAAUACAUAAACAUAAGCUCAAAUACUAGAGCUAUAUACACGCUUGGUAUUCUUUUAUUUUUUUAAAAAGAAACUACCAUUUGACAAGUUGUUUGUCAAUUACUGUUAUGCUAUCACCCUUUUUGAUUAUUUGGUUGGGGUAUAAAGUAUUAAAUGUCUACUACAUAUUACCAAGGCACACUGAACAUUCGAGCCGUUGGGCAUUUGAGUUGUAUUAUUCCUUAGUGCAUCAAGAAUUUGCAACUUGAAAGAAAAUAGCUGAGGAACAACAGCUUUGAUCAUUUUAUUUUUAACAGUAAGGGAAGAAGCAUUUUAUGUGCAUGAAGCCUCAGCCUUCUCAUCCCAUGAGAACUGUAAUGCCAGAACUCGGGAGUAUUUGGAAUUAGGACAAUAAUGCCCGAAUUUAGGAGCAUGUGCAGAACUUCCAGUAAGGUUCACCUGAAGCUCUCUCUUCUCCAGAACUUGAAUCAAUCAGAGAUUCAACUUGAAGAAUGGUUAGGCUUCUUUGAAUCAAGCUUGAGGACAUCACACAACUCUAAGCCGUAACCUGGAAGAAAUGGGUAAAACAGUGGCCAGUAUAAGUACUUUCAGCAAUUUUUUUCUAUAAUUUGUUUCAGCAUUGGAAUUAUUAAGCUUAAAUACGUUCUGAUUGGUAAUUUCAGAUUGGAGAGUGGCACAUGGUAAAAGCUAUAUGACAUGAUUUAGAAUUUUAAGAUCUAUCAAUUUUUCCUAUGAACUUGGAAAAUUAUUUGGAUGCUCCAGUGUUAACUUCGUCAACAACUAGCUAGCUUGAUCACUGUUCAUCUUCUCGACACAAGCGCAUAUUGCAGCAAAGAGAGGCUUGGCCAGUUGCCUAGUCCAUCCUUCCCAGAGCAGCAUACGGCAGUGCCUGCAAAGAAGAAAGCACCAAGCCAGCAGCUGCCAUGGAGGCAAUGCUAAGCAAAGAGCUCGAGAGUAAACUCCGUCUCUCAGACAUUUGAUCGAACGUUUGGUGAGCAGCAACUGUUAGAGACGGAGCAGAGAAGAAUAUGGAAGAGGAACUUAUAGCCUGUAGUGGCCCCUUAUCAGGUUCGGAACACCCACCGACCACCACAUUGGUUGCAGCGGUGCUUGACGACAUCGGUCCACAUGCUGCGGAAGGGGAGAGGACAGAGGAGGUGGGUUCGACGACAGCAUACAGCGUGGCUCCAACGAGUCGAGACCGCGCCGUCGGCGAGACAAGCCAGCACCGUAGCGCGGCGGAGGCCAAGGCGCAAGUGCGCUGCGCGGCCCGCCUUUUCUUCUACUCCUCCCAUCAUGCCCCCGCCGCAUCACCUCUUUCCUGCUCGCAGCCACUGCUAUGCGACUCGAUGACGAGAAGAGGCUGCGAAAUGGAGGGAGGGCGCACGGAAUAUCAGAAAUGCGGUGGGAUGCUGGAGGUCGUCCCACCGCUGGAGGGGGAGGAAGGGCCGGCCGGCCGGCGGAGGAGCCGUGCGCGCAGCGUGCUCACCUGCCUGCUCGCGAAACGUCGCGAGAGAGUGAUUGAGCGGAGCCUCUAGACCGUCCGUCCGAUGCGACCCAGCAGGAGAUCCAACGGUCGAAGUUUGGAGGUGACGUGGCCCAAUAUUUUUGCCGAGCUUGGCUCAGAUUUCGAAGAAAGAGACUUGGGCCGUAGCGGCAAGCACACUGACUGAGGGUGUGUGUGGUGUGCAUUUGGUUUGGACGUUCGACUGGGCCUAAGGCAUAGUGGGCCGGUGUUCCGUGCAUGAGCUCAUCCUAGCUAGAAUGCGAAGCCAAUACGAAUUUUUGACAACUUCGAGCUGUUGAUGUCAACCACCGUCGACGACUGUGAUAUCGACCAUGAUUAUUUCGAAAGAAAGAAAAACGCCUCGAGAGUUGUCAUAUUCCGGUCAGACUGUAUACAGGAGUACAUACCCGAUAGUCAGACUACAGUCAUCACUCAUCACGGUUUAUUGGCAGUCGAACGAGUCCGUCUCCAGGCAGUAGCCAAAGUAGGUAUUGAGUACCUGUGACGUACACGCACGCGUACGCUUGCAGCGCCCUUUCCCCCCUACUUUUGGCAAAGAUUACAUGAUGAUGACGAGAUCUGGAAAGAGAUAACAACAGUGCCUAGAAGUAGCUAAAAGCUAAAACCACAGAUGCUAUGCUACGGCUGGCUGAUCGAGGGACGAGACAAUUGGGGCCUGGCCGCCACGUACCCGGCCGCGAUUGUGCGGCGCAGCCAUCAUCAGCAUGCCGGCCGGGGGCACGUCGUUCUCGGGCACCAACGGUCGGGCGCGAGGUGUUGCCCGGCCUACUCCCUUUGGGUCUGUUCGUGACAGCCAUAUCUGCCGGAUUCUGUGCUCAUGGCCGCGGGAGCCCCGGGUCCCACUAGCUCCAUCCGCUCGCGCUUGCGCCUACUUGGUCACCCCUCCAGCCGCAAACUAAACCACUUGUUUUAUUUAGUUGCUAUACUACUUUACUACUAAAAAGUGGUUGAUUAAGCACGGUAUCACCCCCGAGAUGACGUGACACGACACCACGGAUGUGGAAAGCUCAAAGUGCGCUCGCCCUUUCUUUAAUUUCCUUGUUUGACAAGAAGUGAUGAUGCCGUCGUCGUUGCAUAUACACGUAUUACGUGCAGGACACUCUCCUCCCCGUUCAUCAAUAUACUAAGCCAUCAACCAGUGUGUUACCAUCGCAGGAGAUGCUCACUGUGUUACCAACUUAGCAUCACUAGAAUAUCGUCAAGAUUCACGAGGGAGCUUGCUGGCUACCCUUCCGUCUCAAAUUACUAUUCGUUUUGACUUUUUAUAUAAUUUUGAUUUUUCUAUGUACAUAAAUUUUGAUAUGCACAUAAAUAUACACUAUAUCUACAUACAUAAUAAAAAGUUAUGUAUCUAAAAAAAUUAAAAUGAAUAGUAAUUUAGGACGGAAGGAGUAGCUCCGAGCUCCAAGUACGCUGCUCUCCCUCCUUCCACGGUUGCACCGUACCUAACAGGUUCAUACCAUGGACAAACUAAGAUCCCGAGGCGAGUUCCCGCGAGAGAUGAGAUAACAACGGACUGAGGGACAACACGACGGACAACGUUGACGCUACGGUUCGGUCGAGAUGGUCGAGCUCGGCUUGGCCGCCACGUGCCCUGGUCCCUGGGUGCGUUGAUGUAGCUAGGCACGCCGGGCCGAGGGCGGACACGUCGUUGUCGGCCACGGCGGCGAAAGCGGUUGGGCCGGGACAGGCGAGAGAAUACAAAAUUUAGUACUGGGGCCAAUCGGCGAGCCCAAAGUGUUGCCCCGGCCCCGGCCGGAUGACGAUCGAGCACCGCGAACCACCCCGACUCCUUUUCCUGAUCCACACUUCCUUUCCGGGAUGAUGAUGCUCAUGUCCUGGCUGGCUGGCUGGCUGCAUGCAGCUCCUUUUUCUCCUGGCCCUGGCCCCUCCUUCGCCUGGAACCAAAUGCAUAAAAGAAGCGACCCACCAGGCAGGAUGGAACCCCUCAGACACGGACAACCACAACCCCAGCACUCUCAAGGCAGCAAGCCGAGACGAAACGCCGGCCGGCCGCAACGGCAACAGCGUGGGAGGCCUGGAGGCCAGGAGGGAUGGAUUCCCCCAGGCAGUCACGCGCCGUCCGUUCCCCCGAUAUGAUUUUUGGUAUGAUGGGCGGUGGGACGUACGCGCGCCGCUGUUGCAAGCCGUACCUGCUCCGCCGCGCGCUGCGCAAAGAGCAACAAACUAAGAGAGAGACGUGAGCUAGGUGCUCAGGUGGAGGUGGACGGACGUGUGUGCGCACGCACGGCCCACGGCACGGGACUGCGCGGGGAGGGAAGGUCACUAAGGGCGUGAUUGGUUGCUCCGGUCCGGACCGUCCAGAACGGACCGGUUGUUCUGGAUCGUGGGAGACGGAAUAGAGUGAUACAGGAAGGUUUGUUUGGUUGCAUUUUGCUGUCGGCCUGAAUCAUGCGAGGUUGUGUUUGGUUGUUCUGGUUGUAUCGCUCUCGUGUACGACAGGAGUCACUAGAUUGUGUUUGGUACAUAGAACAGGAUGAGGUCGGAGCACCCUAGCACCAUAUUGGUGAGGUUACCAACAAAGAUGAUGAACAUGAGAUGUUUUAAUAUUACAAAGGCUGAUCUCGUGCUUGACUACUUCCAAAGAUAAUAGACUAGUAGUAGGAGUACAAUAAUAAUUAUAAAUUGUAGCCCGGCUACGAUAUGGACCCAACUAACUUCAGUUGCCGUGUUUUUUGAACCGUCAGUCGCUUCUUUGAUAUCGACAUCU